UAUAGGCCUGAUUUGUGACAGCUUUAGU
rnacentral:piRNA from 1 species